rnacentral:rRNA from 1 species
AGAGUUUGAUCAUGGCUCAGGACGAACGCUGGCGGCGUGCCUAACACAUGCAAGUCGAACGGUCUAAUGUUCAACACUGAAUGUUUACUACAGAGAACUUGGUAAAGCCGCGGAUGCGACCAAUGAAGUGCCAACACGAGGGCGAAGUUGGAAAGAAGUAGAGGAACAUUGAGUGUUGGACAUUAGAUAGUGGCGGACGGGUGAGUAACGCGUGGGUAACCUACCCAUAAGUGGGGGAUAACAGUUGGAAACGACUGCUAAUACCGCAUAAGCUGCGCAAGCAGUAAAGGAGGCCUCUGAAAAUGCUUCCGCUUAUGGAUGGGCCCGCGUCUGAUUAGCUAGUUGGGAGGGUAACGGCCUACCAAGGCAACGAUCAGUAGCCGGCCUGAGAGGGUGAACGGCCACACUGGGACUGAGACACGGCCCAGACUCCUACGGGAGGCAGCAGUGGGGAAUAUUGCGCAAUGGGGGAAACCCUGACGCAGCGACGCCGCGGGAGCGAUGAAGGCCCUUAGGGUCGUAAGCUCUGUUUUAAGGGACGAAUGUCGUAGGGAGUAAUACGUCAUAACGAAUGACGGGACCCUUAAGAAGGAAGCCCCGNGCUAACUACGUGCAAACAGCCCGCGGUAAGACGUAGGGGGCGAAGGGUUGUCCCGAAAUUACUGGGGCGUAAA